UAUAUAAUAUGGAUAAAUGUUGGCAUACAUCUUCUUCAUUUAAUUUUAAUAAUUUUUUUUCAUAUAUUUUUUUUGGGGAUGUAUUAUACAAAUAUGUAAUAUAGAAUUCUUAAAAAAGCAUGCAAAUGGUUUACAAGACACUGCAUGGAUAAGAAAAUUCUUGUGAAACAGAUAUAAAAAAUAAGGGUGUGUUUAUGAUUCAAUAUUCUUUGAUGAAAAAUACAUGUACACAAUGUACUUAAUUUCUAA
rnacentral:lncRNA from 1 species